rnacentral:rRNA from 1 species
CGCGGGACAACUUACCGGGCCCGACGACCGUAAGAGUGUGACACACGAUAGGUCGAAGAGUGGUGCAUGGCCGUUAACGACGAGUGGAGUGAUCUUUGGGUUAAGUCCGUAAAUUAGUGAGACCUCAGCCGUAAGGGACAGGUGCGCAAAGCACAGGAAGGAUGGGUCAAGGACAGGUCAGUGAUGCCCUUAGAUGGUCCGGGCUGCACGCGCACUACAGUGGUCGCCGAAAUUAGCUGAUAAUUUUAAAGGCGAUCGAGAGGGAAUGAGCUUUGUAAGAGGCUCAGGAACGAGGAAUUGCUAGUAAUCGCGGACUCAUUAAGACGCGAUGAAUACGUCCCUGUUCUUUGUACACACCGCCCGUCGUUAUCGAAGAUGAAGACAGGCGCGAACGAUCUACCAGAAAGUGAGCGCAGGUCUUUAGAUCUGAUACAAGUCGUAACAAGGUAGCUGUAGGUGAACCUGUAGCUGG